UACGUAGGGACCAAGCGUUGUCCGGAAUCAUUGGGCGUAAAGAGCGUGUAGGCGGCCAUUCAGGUCAGCUGUGAAAACUCGAGGCUCAACCUCGAGACGUCGGUUGAAACCGUUUGGCUAGAGUCCGGAAGAGGAGAGUGGAAUUCCCGGUGUAGCGGUGAAAUGCGCAGAUAUCGGGAAGAACACCCGUGGCGAAGGCGGCUCUCUGGGACGGUACUGACGCUGAGACGCGAAAGCGUGGGGAGCGAACAGG
rnacentral:rRNA from 1 species